rnacentral:rRNA from 1 species
GACGAACGCUGGCGGCGUGCUUAACACAUGCAAGUCGAACGGUAAGGCCUUUCGGGGUACACGAGUGGCGAACGGGUGAGUAACACGUGGGUGAUCUGCCCUGCACUUCGGGAUAAGCCCGGGAAACUGGGUCUAAUACCGGAUAGGACUGCGCGGUGCAUGCCGUGUGGUGGAAAGAUUUAUCGGUGCAGGAUGGGCCCGCGGCCUAUCAGCUUGUUGGUGGGGUAAUGGCCUACCAAGGCGACGACGGGUAGCCGGCCUGAGAGGGCGACCGGCCACAUGGGGAAUGAGACAGGGCCCAGACCCCGCGGGGGGGCAGCGGGGGGGAUUUUUGCAAACGGGGCCGAAGCCGGAUCCAGCACCCCCGGGGGGGGGAUCGCGGCUUGCGGUUUGUAACCCGUUUCCGCCGGGGACGAGGCGUGGGUGAGGGUCCGUGAAAAAGAAGCCCCGCCAACCCACUUC